AUGCUAAGAGUUGUUUCAGCUCUAACUUUUUUUUUUUUUUUGUCACACAGAGGCUCUAAGAUUGUGAGGAACAACUGGCAUUUUGGUUUAAAGUAUAAAUUGGGUAAUUUCCUGUUCAAAGAAAAGAAAGGCGCCAAAGAGGAGAAUCUUGUUUCUGUUUCUUCUUCAUCUUUCUUUGGGAAGGUAGAAGAAGCACAAUGGAAAGAGCAGAUCUGGACACCCAGCUGA
rnacentral:lncRNA from 1 species